GAGGUUAAUCAAUGGUUUUUAAUACUUUAUUUUCAUUUCCAACUUGCGAAUCAGUUUAACUUUUGACUCAGUUCAGUUCAACUCCAACCUACAAAAUGCGAUUCUUAAUAAUCUUGUCUCUCGCUUUAUGCAUUGGUUUUGCUUAUGCAGCCAGCGUUAACCGAUCAAAGCGUGAUGACAUAUCCAUGAUGACAUGGAAAAAAUCAUCAAAGAUAUAAAAAAGAAAGGUAUUGACCAUGUUGGUGACGACAUCAAAAAAUUUGCUCACAAUUUCAAGGAUCAAAUAAAGUCAUGGCAUUGUCCAAACAUCUUUGAUAUACUUAAUGCAUUGGCUAGU